rnacentral:rRNA from 1 species
UACGUAGGGGGCCAGCGUUGUCCGAAUUUACUGGGCGUAAAGAGCGCGUAGGCGGGUCUUUAAGUGAGGGGUGAAAGGUUUGGGCUUAACCCAGACACUGCCUUUCAUACUGGGGACCUUGAGUGUGGGAGAGGCGAGUGGAAUUCUUGGUGUAGCGGUGAAAUGCGCAGAUAUCAGGAGGAACACCGGUGGCGAAGGCGGUUCUCUGGGCCUGUACUGACGCUGAGGAGCGAAAGCGUGGGGAGCGAACAGG